GCUCCCGUGGCUCAAUUGGAUAGAGCAUUUGCCUUCGAAGCAAAGGGUUGCAGGUUCGAGUCCUGCCGGGAGCACCA
rnacentral:tRNA from 3 species